GACGGAGGAGGCAAGCGUUAUCCGGAAUUAUUGGGCGUAAAGCGUCCGUAGGUGGUUAUUCAAGUCUUUUGUUAAAUAGUGGAGCUCAACUCCAUAGAGGCGGAAGAAACUGAGUAACUUGAGUGCGGUAGGGGUAGAGGGAAUUCCAGGUGUAGCGGUGAAAUGCGUAGAUAUCUGGAAGAACAUCAGUUGCGAAGGCGGCAUCCUGGACCAUAACUGACACUGAUAAGCGAAAGCCAGGGGAGCAAACGGG
rnacentral:rRNA from 1 species